rnacentral:rRNA from 1 species
GACGAACGCUGGCGGCGUGCUUAACACAUGCAAGUCGAACGAAGAGCGAUGGAAGCUUGCUUCUAUCAAUCUUAGUGGCGAACGGGUGAGUAACGCGUAAUCAACCUGCCCUUCAGAGGGGGACAACAGUUGGAAACGACUGCUAAUACCGCAUACGAUCUAAUCUCGGCAUCGAGGAUAGAUGAAAGGUGGCCUCUACAUGUAAGCUAUCACUGAAGGAGGGGAUUGCGUCUGAUUAGCUAGUUGGAGGGGUAACGGCCCACCAAGGCGAUGAUCAGGAGCCGGUCUGAGAGGAUGAACGGCCACAUUGGGACGGAGACACGGCCCAGACGCCUACGGGAGGCAGCAGUGGGGAAUCUUCCGCAAUGGAGGAAAGUCUGACGGAGAAACGCCGCGUGAGUGAUGACGGCCUUCGGGUUGUAAAGCUCUGUUAAUCGGGACGAAAGGCCUUCUUGCGAAUAGUGAGAAGGAUUGACGGUACCGGAAUAGAAAGCCACGGCUAACUACGUG